UUGUAGUAAACUACUUAAUGGGCCCACUUAUCUCUGCAAGAACAUUCCCCUCAGGUGAUAGGGGUCCACCCCUCCAGGGGUGAACUGGUGGUCAGUUUGCUUCCUAAAAUAGCGUCAGUCACAGGUAAAUACCAGAACUGUUUUGUCUAACAAGCUGGAAUCCGUCCUGCUUUGUUUUCUCGACAUUGUGGGUAAUAAGAUAAUACAAAGCCUGUGGCGCCUUCUCUCCUGGGACGUCCAAUCCAGUAGAGACACAGGUUGGUGGAGAGCCAAUUACAGCAGUGGGGCAAAGGCUGUGAUGGAAAAAUCAGAGCGAAUGGAGGCACAGGGGAAGGGCUCCUGACAGAGACUUCGGAGAACCAAGCAAAGUGUCCAAGAGGAAGUUGUUUCUUACCAAAGACCUGGGGGAAAUGCAAAUCCGUAUCAUGAGAUCACACCAUCAAAUAAAAACAGAAAUAAUAAAUGUUGGCGAGGACGUGGAGAAACUGGGACACUUGUGCACUGUUGGCGGGAAUGGAGACUGGCACAGCUGCUGCGGAGAACAGCAUGGUGGCUUUUCAAAACAUUGAAAAUAUGAUUACAAAUAUGACCCAGGAAUUCCAUUUCUGGAAAACAGAGCAAUCAUCCCUGCUCAGUGGUGGAGAACAACUUCCUGGCGGCCAGAGAGAAUUGACCAAAUGUGCGGUGUCUCUCUUUUGGACACAUGAUAACCGUGGCGAAGACUGUAUGUAACCUGAAGAGACAGAAAGGGCUUCCCUCCCUGUCCUCACUUCCCUAGAGAUGGCUGGGCCUGGCGAGUGCCUUGGGUAUGCGGGAGUGGGAAAAGGAAAACAAAUGUUUGUAGUAAAAACUCAUGAAAUGUUUGUUAAACAUAUGACAAUCCAAUU